rnacentral:rRNA from 1 species
UANGUAAUNAGACUUUGAGAGAGAGUUCAAAAGUACGUGAAACUGUUCAGAGGUAAACAGGUGGGCCCUCGAAAUCCUGUGGUGGGAGCAUUCAGUUGGGGUGAUGAGACGAGCGUUGGGAUACGACGAAGAAGGUACCCGCGACGGGACCGUCCUGGCGUUCGCUUCGAUUCUCACCGACGCAUUUGCUUCCCGCCCGAAGGACGUCGCAACCGGUUGGGGGACGGCCUUAAGGGCGAGAACCGGCAGUUGGCCGGUGGCGUGCCUCGUGCGCGUCGCCGGCUGUUAGCCAUCUCGUCGCACGGCUCGUACCCCGACCGUGGCAAGAAAGAGGCCUACGACUAGGCUUCGACGUCUCCUCCCACAAGGUGGCGGGUAGAAGCGCGGCAGGGGCUCGACGGCUUGCGGGCGCACGGACCGACUCCGUGGCCCAGCGUUUCGUCGUCCUCGUUGGCUGUGCAAGGCCCGCAGGGAGUGCUGACGGUUGGCGGCGAGUAGAUCGGUCACCCACCUGACCCGUCUUGAAACACGGACCAAGGAGUGCAACACGUGCGCGAGUCAAUGGGACUCGAAUAAGCCCAGAGGCGCAAUGAAAGCGAAGGUUCGGAUGACUCCGGCCGUGUUGGGAUCCCGGCUCCUUCGCGGGCCGGGCGCACCAGCGACACGUCCUAUCCCGCUUGCGGGUUGGGCGUAGUCUGAGCGCACGCGUUGCGACCCGAAAGGUGGUGAACUAUGCCCGGGCAGGACGAGGCCAGAGGAAACUCUGGUGGAGGUCCGCAGCGGUUCUGACGUGCAAAUCGAUCGUCAGAUCCGGGUAUAGGAAAAAAAANNUUAUUAAAAAA